UGGGGAAUUUUGGACAAUGGGCGAAAGCCUGAUCCAGCAAUGCCGCGUGUGUGAAGAAGGCCUUCGGGUUGUAAAGCACUUUUGUCCGGAAAGAAAUCCUCUGGGUUAAUACCUCGGGGGGAUGACGGUACCGGAAGAAUAAGCACCGGCUAACUACGUGCCAGCAGCCGCGGUAAUACGUAGGGUGCAAGCGUUAAUCGGAAUUACUGGGCGUAAAGCGUGCGCAGGCGGUUUUGUAAGACGGAUGUGAAAUCCCCGGGCUUAACCUGGGAACUGCAUUCGUGACUGGCAGGCUAGAGUAUGGCAGAGGGGGGUAGAAUUCCACGUGUAGCAGUGAAAUGCGUAGAGAUGUGGAGGAAUACCGAUGGCGAAGGCAGCCCCCUGGGCCAAUACUGACGCUCAUGCACGAAAGCGUGGGGAGCAAACAGGAUUAGAUACCCUGGUAGUCCACGCCCUAAACGAUGUCAACUAGUUGUUGGGGAUUCAUUUCCUUAGUAACGUAGCUAACGCGUGAAGUUGACCGCCUGGGGAGUACGGUCGCAAGAUUAAAACUCAAAUGAAUUGACGGGGUCAUAGCUGUUUCCU
rnacentral:rRNA from 1 species